rnacentral:rRNA from 1 species
GACGAACGCUGGCGGCGUGCUUAACACAUGCAAGUCGAACGAAGAGCGAUGGACGCUUGCUUCUAUCACUCUUAGUGGCGAACGGGUGAGUAACGCGUAAUCAACCUGCCCUUCAGAGGGGGACAACAGUUGGAAACGACUGCUAAUACCGCAUAUGAUCCAAUCUCGGCAUCGGGACUGGAUGAAAGGUGGCCUCUAUUUAUAAGCUAUCACUGAAGGAGGGGAUUGCGUCUGAUUAGCUAGUUGGAGGGGUAACGGCCCACCAAGGCGAUGAUCAGUAGCCGGUCUGAGAGGAUGAACGGCCACAUUGGGACUGAGACACGGCCCAGACUCCUACGGGAGGCAGCAGUGGGGAAUCUUCCGCAAUGGACGAAAGUCUGACGGAGCAACGCCGCGUGAGUGAUGACGGCCGUCGGGUUGUAAAGCUCUGUUAAUCGGGACGAAUGGUUCUUGUGCGAAUAGUGCGAGGAUUUGACGGUACCGGAAUAGAAAGCCACGGCUAACUACGUG